UACAGAGGGUGCAAGCGUUGUUCGGAAUUAUUUGGGCGUAAAGGGGCGCGUAGGCGGUGCGGUUAAGUCUGUAGUGAAAUCUCUGGGCUCAACUCAGAGUCUGCUGCAGAAACUGCCGUGGCUUGAGUGUGGGAGAGGUGAGUGGAAAUUCCCGGUGUAGCGGUGAAAAUGCGUAGAUAUCGGGGAGGAACACCAAUUGCGA
rnacentral:rRNA from 1 species